CCUACGGGUGGCAGCAGUGGGGAAUAUUGCGCAAUGGGCGAAAGCCUGACGCAGCGACGCCGCGUGAGGGAUGAAGGUCUUCCGAUCGUAAACCUCUGUGAGCAGGGAAGAACGGUCACUGUGCUAAUCAGCAGUGAAUUGACGGUACCUGCAAAGGAAGCACCGGCUAACUCCGUGCCAGCAGCCGCGGUAAUACGGAGGGUGCGAGCGUUAAUCGGAAUUACUGGGCGUAAAGCGCUCGUAGGCGGUAUGUCAAGUCAAGGGUGAAAGCCCCGCGCUCAACGUGGGAACUGCCUUUGAAACUGGCAAACUGGAGUGUGUGAGAGGAUAGGGGAAUUCCAGGUGUAGGAGUGAAAUCCGUAGAUAUCUGGAGGAACAUCAGUGGCGAAGGCGACUAUCUGGCACAUAACUGACGCUGAGGAGCGAAAGCGUGGGUAGCAAACAGGAUUAGAUACCCCAGUAGUC
rnacentral:rRNA from 1 species